GAAAUGCGAUAAGUAGUGUGAAUUGCAGAAUUCAGUGAAUCAUCGAAUCUUUGAACGCACAUUGCGCCCCUUGGUAUUCCAUGGGGCAUGCCUGUUCGAGCGUCAUUUGUACCCUCAAGCUCUGCUUGGUGUUGGGUGUUUGUCCCGUCUCCGCGCGUGGACUCGCCCCAAAGUGAUUGGCAGCCGGCGUACUGGUCCCGGAGCGCAGCACAUGUCGCGCAAACGAGUGCCUUGGUACGGCGGCGUCCAUAAGCCCCUCUCUCACGCUCUUGACCUCGGAUCAGGUAGGGAUACCCGCUUAACUUAAGC
rnacentral:misc_RNA from 1 species